AUUCAAGGCUAAUAAUACAACUCAAAGAAAAUCAGCCAAAAAAAAAGCAAAAUCUAUAAACAAAAAAUAAAAAAAUUAACCUUCGUGAAAAAAUGAAGGCAAAUAAGCUUGUAACAGUAUUUUUAAUGUGCAUGAUGUGUAGUCAGUUGUGCAUGUCUCCACGGCUGGGUGCUUUGACAGUUGUGUAAAAGAAUGCAUGCAGAAUGGCAGAGGCAAAGAUUUCUGUGAGAAUAAUAAAUGUGAUCCCAUUUGCCCUGAUGAGAGGUCAAAAGAAGCAACGAAUAAUCUCAAGCCUUGAACUGAAUCAAAGAUUCGAGGAAUAAUCACCUCUGGCUAGGGGUGUCAAGUGGACCGGCCCAACCCGGCCCGAUCCGGCCCUAGUACCUAAUCCGGCUCGGAUUGACCCGGUCCGUGUUGAUGAGAGAACUUACACAUCAACUUAUCGGGAAGAGCUGAAAUAUUAUCUUCGGACGACACCAGAGGAUCGCAGACGACGGAUCAACACGUUGGAUUGGUAGAGGAGUAAUGAAACACAAUAUCCUGUGCUUUCAAGAUUAGCUAGAGAUAUCUUGAAUGUUCCAAUGUCAACCGUUGCAUCAGAGAGCGCCUUUAAUCAGAGACGACAAAAGCUUGGAGACAACCGACACUCAUUGGGAACCAAUGCAAUGAAUAUUCUAGUUUGCCUUAGAGAUUGGAUUAGAGCGGAAAGAAGAAACCAAGGAAUGGAACCGGAGCCGAGCGACGAGCUGAAUAUUGAAGAAAUUAUGACUUCACGGGAGAACUCAGCAGAAUCAAGUCCAAUGCAUGAUUUUGCCGCCGUUGACUUCGACUAUCCUAUGCAAGUUCCCAUUAAUAUUAACACGGAUGAGUUGGAAAAAAUGAUGCACAAUUUAUAGAUUUUUCAUUCAUGUAAAUUAUAAAUUUUGGAUCAUUUUGCAAUCAAUAAAAUUCCCCAAAUUCAUUCACUCCUUA